rnacentral:tRNA from 1 species
UCCCUGGUGGUUUAGAGGGUAAAGCCUCUGCCUGCAAUGUGGGAGUCCCGGGUUGGAUCCCUGGCUUGGGAA